rnacentral:rRNA from 1 species
AACGAACGCUGGCGGCGUGCUUAACACAUGCAAGUCGAACGCGAAAGGGGACUUCGGUCCUGAGUAAAGUGGCGCACGGGUGAGUAACGCGUAGAUAACCUGUCUUCAUGUCUGGAAUAAUACGCCAAAGGGGUACUAAUACCGGAUAUUCUUGCUUUUCAUAAGUUAUGCAAGCAAAGGUGGCCUCUGCAUAUGCUACUGCAUGAAGAGGGGUCUGCGUACCAUUAGCUAGUAGGUGGGGUAAUGGCCUACCUAGGCGACGAUGGUUAGCGGGUCUGAGAGGAUGAUCCGCCACACUGGCACUGGAACACGGGCCAGACUCCUACGGGAGGCAGCAGUGAGGAAUAUUGCGCAAUGGGGGAAACCCUGACGCAGCGACGCCGCGUGAGUGAGGAAGGCCUUCGGGUCGUAAAGCUCUGUCAAGAGGAAAGAAGUGUACAAUGGCUAAUACCUGUUGUAUUUGACGGUACCUCUAAAGGAAGCACCGGCUAACUCCGUGCCAGCAGCCGC